UCUAUAAAUACCUAUCUUCCAAUUUCGUUUUUAGUCGAAACUUUAAUUUUGCCUCUUUCAAAAACCGCGCGCUCUUUCGAUCGAUUCGAUUGCCAUUUCCGGCGAACUCUCCGAUCGCUGAAUCGGAUGGAUACAUCAAACCCUUCAGUUUUUGUCAAUGCUGAGCUUUUACGACUGUAUGUUGGAAGAAGAGUUCGGGCUGUGAUUCAGGUACUGUCUGAAAGCAAUGGAGUCGUAUUUGGUAAAUCAACAGAUGACAACCAGAUCACUGUCAAAGGUUCCCCACCCUUUCCUCUUUCAAAGUUUGUCGAGGUGAUUGGAAUUGCUGAUACCGACAAAUCCAUUCGAGCUGAUGUGUGGACCAAUUUUGGUGAUUCAUUUGAUACAUCUACCUUCAAUCAACUAUGUCUGUUUGCUAAUGGGGAGUUCAAACCCUUGUUUAUCUGAUUUUCAAGCCAGACAUUCUUUAGCAAGAAACCUCAUGGUCUACCUUCCCCUCCCGUGACACGCUAAGUCGACAAUGUUUUCUUCAUGUUCUUCUUAAAGCAUCUGAGAUUUAUCGUUCAUAUGGUAUUGCACUUUUCAGUUUUUCAGGUUAGGAAGCCUUUGUGAAUGCAAAUAAACUGAUAACCGAUGAUUACAAACUGACAAACUAUCAUCUUUUAGCUGAAGCUCAAUGUUAUGAAAAACAUAAUCUAGGGAAUAUAUGCCAACAAAAUUAUAAUCAAAUUCAUUUUUCUA